CGGCCGCGUCGACCGCAUGACUCUGUUGCCAAAGAUUUAUCGCUCUGAGAUGGCCUCGCGUCUGAUUAGCUAGUUGGCGGGGUAACGGCCCACCAAGGCGACGAUCAGUAGCCGGACUGAGAGGUUGGCCGGCCACAUUGGGACUGAGACACGGCCCAGACUCCUACGGGAGGCAGCAGUGGGGAAUAUUGGGCAAUGGGCGCAAGCCUGACCCAGCAACGCCGCGUGAAGGAAGAAGGCUUUCGGGUUGUAAACUUCUUUUGUCAGGGACGAAGCAAGUGACGGUACCUGACGAAUAAGCCACGGCUAACUACGUGCCAGCAGCCGCGGUAAUACGUAGGUGGCAAGCGUUAUCCGGAUUUAUUGGGGUGUAAAGGGCGUGUAGGCGGGACUGCAAGUCAGAUGUGAAAACCACGGGCUCAACCUGUGGCAGGCAAGGCGGCGGGCGACGUCGACAGUCGUGGGAGCAAGGGCACGACAGGGGGAUAGG
rnacentral:rRNA from 1 species